rnacentral:rRNA from 1 species
AGGGAAUUUUGCGCAAUGGACGGAAGUCUGACGCAGCAACGCCGCGUGAAGGAUGAAGGCCUUCGGGUUGUAAACUUCUGUUGGAUGGGAAAAAAAGCCUUUUAAGAGGAAUUGAUGGUACCAUUCGAGUAAGCACCGGCUAACUACGUGCCAGCAGCCGCGGUAAUACGUAGGGUGCGAGCGUUGUUCGGAAUCACUGGGCGUAAAGGGAGCGUAGGCGGAACUGUAAGUUAGAAGUUUAAUACAUGGGCUCAACCCGUGGUCUGCUUUUAAUACUGCGGUUCUUGAGUAUGGGAGAGGGCGAUGGAAUUCCAGGUGUAGCGGUGGAAUGCGUAGAUAUCUGGAAGAACACCAGUAGCGAAGGCGGUCGCCUGGCCCAAUACUGACGCUGAGGCUCGAAAGCUGGGGGAGCAAAC